rnacentral:misc_RNA from 1 species
UGGAGGUACUGACCAAGUGAGCGUGAUAGAGAAAACUGCGCGCGUCGCACAGCAGCAGCGGAGAGCUUCGACAGGGCGAAGAAGCGUACCAAAGAAGAAGAGAGGCGUCUCCUCUCCUCGCGCUUGUUGGCCGUGUGUAGCACGUCUGUGCCUGUGUGUGUGUGUGUGUGUGUGUGUGUUUAGGGCCACGAAGGUUGCCUCUCCGGUUCCAGUCGAGGCCCGGGACACCUCAGAGGGAGGGUGCAACGGAACGCGCCAAGGCAACACAGGCCGCAAGACUACGAGCAUGAGGGCAGUCAAGUCGCGCAAUGCAGGGGGGCUUCGCUCUGUUAGAGACGUCGGCAGCAACCGUGAUGCCGCCGCGGCGGCGGUCCACGCGAAAGAGGCGGGAGCGGCAGCUACGCUAACGGUGGCGGUGCAUCACAGCGAUGCCUCCGGCACGCAUAGCGAAAAAGGCGCGCCGGACGACGCUACGCUGGAGGUGAGCGUAGGUACUACUGGCGAGAAGGACAAGUACCCCGAAGACCCCCUCGCCGUCGCGUUUGCGCUGGACGCACCGCUGACGUUCACCGCACGCGAUGACCCGAGAGUCGUUGCCCGGCUGCCACUUCGCUUCAAAGACGUGCUCCCUACUGUCUGCCACCAGCUUCAGUUCCGGCAGCGGCAGGCGACGCAUCAGACCUCUGUCGAUGCGGACAGCUACACCACCAAGAGCAACCCACUCUCGUCCCCUGUACCGCCGACGGCCGACGCCACCUCGUACGCACAGCCGCCGUACCAGCACGCGCACUUGUCGGACAUGGUCAUGCGGCUGCUGCCCGUCGCGGUGGGCCAGGGGCGCAGCUGCAAGACAGCCAUGAUGCAUCCGAGUGACAGCGAAGAAGACCCCACGGCCGCCGCCACCACCGUAGCCGCGGCCGCAGCACACGGGCCGGAGAACACCGAUAAGCACCUCCAUCAACAGCAGCUUGCAGCGUCAGCGAAGGCGAGGGCGGGCCAUGAGGCAGAGGAUGCUGUGCUGUGUGCGCCAGCGCGGGUGCCUGUGCUCGAAGACCAGCUGUACCGCACAUGGGCAGCGGAUCAGAUCCUAGACUAUCUCUUCUCCCCUACGUCGGCAGACGGCGCUGGCAGCGUUGACCGCGACGAGGCACGGCGCAGCUUCACCGUCGCCGCGUGCCUGAGCGGCAUGCGCGAAGUUCCUGCCGACACGGUCGAGUACGUCGAGCUGCUGCGUCGGAUGCUCUCUCUGGCGGACUCGCGGCGUGGUGCUGAGCCGAAUAAUGACGCGGACGACGCGGACGUAGAUUUGCCAGCGUACGUGCGCGAUGUGCUGGUGGGAGUGUUGCCGACGGAAAACGCACCUGCUGCUGCUGCUAACACAGCGUCCGCCGUCGAGCGGGUGCCGGUGGUGACGACGACGUUGCGCUCCACCUUGGAUGCAGUGCUGCCGCCGCGGCUCUUCCUCUACUACCUCAUCCACCAAGAGACGGCCGUGGCAGUGCAGCGGCAGCGCCAGGCCGCCCAGCAGCGCCAAGCACGCCUUCGUCGUCACCUGGAGACGCACCCGGACGACGUGAGCGUGCUGGAAGAGAUUGAGACCCUCCGUGAGGCGCUCGCUAGCGAGUAUACGGAAGUGCCAGUCGGUGCUGUCUUGGUCAUCCUCGAGCGGACGAGCGAUGUGCAGGCGCCGCGCGACUAUCUCGUGAAGCUGGAGCGGACACUAGACGAGGUACUGGAAAAGGUGAAGGCACGAUGCUGCGGUCGCCCGCUGCAGCUCAUCCGCACCAGCACCGCCCAUCCGUCAUGCUCACGACAGCAGCACACCGCAUCGGCACCGGCGGCCUCCGCGAAGGGGCGAGAAGGGGCCGCGGCCGCGGCCAUCCUCGCUACGCCAGACAAGUGGGUAUGCACGCACACACUGAAGCCGCUGCCAGUGCAACCGGUGGCCACGUCCGCUAGCGGUGGCGGCUCGGCUACCGUCGCCGCUACGCUGAAUGUGCUGGAGCUGAACAAGGAGCGGACGCUGGUGCAGCUAAGCCUCCUCGGUGAGGAGCUGCUCCGGCAGGUGACCGUCGAUCUUCCCGAGCGCGGUAUCCUUCUCCGACGCCUCCUCGACGAGGCGCAGCUCUCCAUCGACGCCCGCGCCAUCCUCGCCCGCGAACGCUGCAACGCCACGCAAGCGCACUUGCUGGACGGCCAAGACACGCGAGAAGCGACGGCAGCGCAGUGCAAAGUCCUCGAGAGCGAGGUAGCGGAGCUGCGGUCGCGGCUGGCGUCCGUGACCGCACGCAAGGCAGCGCUGGGAGCGUGGGUGGAGGAGCAGAAGGCGCGGGAGCUGACGGCGAGUCGCGAGCGAGCGCUCUUUGAACACAAUCUGCGAGAGCGGUUGGUGGCGCACACGGAGCGGGUAAAGGCGGCGCAGGAUGCCGAGCGUCGUAGCUCCUUGCCAGGGUGAUCCGCGUGAAAGGACGGAGAAGGGAGGGAGCAGGGAUCUACACGAAGCGCAGCUGUCAUGAUACAGUGUAUGGAUCGUCGCGCUGCAAGUGCGCACAAGUCCGUCGAAGUUGCUCGCUCGGUUCGUUCCCCCACCACCACCGCCACCGUCACACGCACUCCACCACCCACCCCUCUCCCUCUCCUUUCGUCGCUGUCAUGGUUGUGACUUCUAGUCUUCCGUCGAUGUACACCACUCAACGCUCGAGGUGCCGCCGCUCUCUCACCCAGCCAUCCAGUGCGUGUGUGCGAGUGUCGGCACGGCAUCCUCUUCCCUGCGUGCGUGCAUGCACGUGGGUGGGUGUCGAUAUGUGUGUGUGUGUGUGUGUGUGUGUGUGUGUGUGCUUGCUUGGAUGUCUCUGGUCGCGUUGGCAGUGGCUGUGGCGAGAACGCGGGAGUCAUGGCACGCGCUUCUCUUCAGAUUGGCCCAGAUCCAUCGCAGCCGCCACACACAUACACACGCGCGCAUGCGCCUUUAUGUAUAGUCUUUGACACGUACGCGCACGUCCCUCCUCUUCCCCUUCUUCUUGCUCACGCAGCCGCGAUCCUUAGUGGCUUACUUAGUGGUCGUCGUUGCCAUUUUCUGUGUGAACUCCGCCAUGUCGAAACGAACCCGACAAGACCUAGCACGCGACCACGCACGCUUCCCCGUCUGUGUCUGUGUCUGUGUCUGUGUGUGUGUGUGUGUGUAGGUGGGCGGGUGCCUUGCGCCGGCUGGUUAAGGGAUCGUAAGCUCUCCUUCUCGGCUUGAUGUGACCACCUCGCGCGUCACCUCCCCUCAUGCCCACCUUAUGCUGUUCCUCGCUGUGCUUUACCGGCGUUCUUUACUCGCUUCUCUCGCCUCAU